rnacentral:rRNA from 1 species
UACGGGGGGGGCAAGCGUUGUUCGGAAUUACUGGGCGUAAAGGGCGCGUAGGCGGCCUUCUAAGUCGAACGUGAAAUCCCUGGGCUCAACUCAGGAACUGCGUCCGAUACUGGAAGGCUUGAAUCCGGGAGAGGGAUGUGGAAUUCCAGGUGUAGCGGUGAAAUGCGUAGAUAUCUGGAGGAACACCGGUGGCGAAGGCGACAUCCUGGACCGGUAUUGACGCUGAGGCGCGAAAGCGUGGGGAGCGAACAGG